rnacentral:rRNA from 1 species
UACAGAGGUGGCAAGCGUUGUUCGGAUUUACUGGGCGUAAAGGGUGCGUAGGCGGUUUUGCGUGUCGGAUGUGAAAUCCCACGGAUUAUCUGUGGAACUGCAUUCGAAACUGCAGAGCUAGAGGUCAGUAGAGGAUGGCGGAAUUCUCGGUGUAGCGGUGAAAUGCGUUGAUAUCGAGAAGAACACCGGUGGCGAAGGCGGCCAUCUGGGCUGAAUCUGACGCUGAGGCACGAAAGCUAGGGGAGCAAACAGG